GACCAUCAAUGGAGCAGAGGCGCGGAAGGAGUCAUGGGGCGCGUACGCCAGGGAAGAAUACAAGGUGUGGAUUAAUGAGUACGAUCACUCCAAGCCCAUCCAGGGGCAGCAGAAGAAGCCCUUUGAGGAGCACUGGAGGAAGCACACCCUGUCCUAUGUGGACGUCAGCACUGGGAAGGUCACCCUGGAAUAUAGACCCGUAAUUGACAAAACUUUGAAUGAGGCUGACUGUGCCGCCAUCCCCCCAGCCAUUCACUCCUGCUGAUGAGACAAGAUGCGGUGAUGACAGAAUCAGCUUUUUGCACAGCCAGAGAACAACACAUCACACACAGGAAACAGUUGUGCUCAUGUGAUGGGGGCCUCAGCACUAGGAAGGAGUGGACUAUUGGCGCAUGUAGCAGCUUGAAUAAAUCUGAAAGUCACUACACUGCGUAAGAGAAGCCAAAUAAAAAAGUUCAUGCUGUGUACAGAGGGUGUUGAGAAUGCCUCCUACGUGACGGAAAGCAGAUCCGUGGUUCCCUGCAGACCGGCAGGAGCAGAUUCCAAAGGCACAGGAAGAAGCUUGCAGGUUGCCUGUUCACUCUGGCUAGUCAUAUGCAGAAAACUGAAACUAGACCCCUUCCUGACACCUUAUAUAAAAAUUAACUCAAGAUGGAUUAAAGAUUUAAACGUAAGACCCAAAACCAGAAAAAUCCUAGAAGAAAACCUAGGCAAUACCAUUCAGGACAUAAGC
rnacentral:lncRNA from 1 species